rnacentral:siRNA from 1 species
AGGCAUUGGAGAUGUUCUUACAU